rnacentral:rRNA from 1 species
UUAGUGAAUAUAGGACGUCCAACUUAACUUGGAGUCCGAACUCUCACUUUCUAACCCUGUGCACUUGUUUGGGAUAGUAACUCUCGCAAGAGAGCGAACUCCUAUUCACUUAUAAACACAAAGUCUAUGAAUGUAUUAAAUUUUAUAACAAAAUAAAACUUUCAACAACGGAUCUCUUGGCUCUCGCAUCGAUGAAGAACGCAGCGAAAUGCGAUAAGUAAUGUGAAUUGCAGAAUUCAGUGAAUCAUCGAAUCUUUGAACGCACCUUGCGCUCCAUGGUAUUCCGUGGAGCAUGCCUGUUUGAGUGUCAUGAAUACUUCAACCCUCCUCUUUCUUAAUGAUUGAAGAGGUGUUUGGUUUCUGAGCGCUGCUGGCCUUUACGGUCUAGCUCGUUCGUAAUGCAUUAGCAUCCGCAAUCGAACUUCGGAUUGACUUGGCGUAAUAGACUAUUCGCUGAGGAAUUCUAGUCUUCGGAUUAGAGCCGGGUUGGGUUAAAGGAAGCUUCUAAUCAGAAUGUCUACAUUUUAAGAUUAGAUCUCAAAUCAGGUAGGACUACCCGCUGAACUUAAGCAUAUCAAUAAGCGGAGGAAAAGAAACUAACAAGGAUUCCCCUAGUAGCGGCGAGCGAAGCGGGAAGAGCUCAAAUUUAUAAUCUGGCACCUUCGGUGUCCGAGUUGUAAUCUCUAGAAAUGUUUUCCGCGUUGGACCGCACACAAGUCUGUUGGAAUACAGCGGCAUAGUGGUGAGACCCCCGUAUAUGGUGCGGACGCCCAGCGCUUUGUGAUACAUUUUCGAAGAGUCGAGUUGUUUGGGAAUGCAGCUCAAAUUGGGUGGUAAAUUCCAUCUAAAGCUAAAUAUUGGCGAGAGACCGAUAGCGAACAAGUACCGUGAGGGAAAGAUGAAAAGCACUUUGGAAAGAGAGUUAACAGUACGUGAAAUUGUUGGAAGGGAAACGCUUGAAGUCAGACUUGCUUGCCGAGCAAUCGGUUUGCAGGCCAGCAUCAGUUUUCCGGGAUGGAUAAUGGUAGAGAGAAGGUAGCAGUUUCGGCUGUGUUAUAGCUCUCUGCUGGAUACAUCUUGGGGGACUGAGGAACGCAGUGUGCCUUUGGCGGGGGUUUCGACCUCUCACA